rnacentral:piRNA from 1 species
UAGCCCAGUCACAUUCACUUCCUCCAUACUC